rnacentral:siRNA from 1 species
UGAAUAGCACUCGGCCCAUAC